GUAUUUGCAAUCCUGUUUGCAACUGCAUUUCCACUUUUAGCAAGGCAGUCCUGUCAUUUAAGAGCUGUGGGUUUGGUGGAUGUAUCAAGCGGUUUAAAAGAAGACGCGAUAUCCGUCUGAACAGACACCAAUCACUGCGCCUUUGGAAGGUUCUCGUUUGAGAAAGUCUUCAGCGAGCCGCCCACCGCAUACGGCCUUACUGUCUCAUUGAUCCAGAAGCUGACUGGAUUUGUCUGUGUGCCACAACAACAUACUGGCAGUGGUCAAAUAAUGCACACAAGUUAAAAAACUGCAUUCUGUACUAUUAACUACCAUCCAUCCAUCCAUCAUCUAAACCGCUUAUCCUUCUGGGUCGCGGUGGGGUGCUGGAGCCUAUCCCAGCUGUCAUUGGGCGGAAGGCAGGAUACACCCUGGACAGCUACAGUUCUGAAGUGGAACAACAAAGCCACAGCUCAUGAGAUGGAUGCUGCCUUGGCCAAUCACCUCAAGCAUGCCCCCUGCAGAGCUUUUAUCUUUCUUUUCUUUUCUUAUUUGACUUCUCAGAAACUAAAAUGAACAAGAUUUUGUCUUGUUAAAUAAUUACCUUGAUUUCUUUUACAUUAAAACAUUGAAAAUCUUAUACAGUACUGACACAGCUUAUGGUUCAAAGGUGAAAAUUCUUUCUGAAUUGAUGCAUAGGAUCUUAUAUGUCUUAGUCCUGAUGAAGUUCAUGGUCCAGUUUUAUGUUCCACAAAUGAAAUUAAGAAU